UCCCUGAUGGCUCAGAUGGUGAAGAAUCUGCCUGCAAUGCAGGAGACCCAGGUUAGAUCCCUGGAUUGGGAA
rnacentral:tRNA from 1 species